rnacentral:rRNA from 1 species
AACGCUAGCUACAGGCUUAACACAUGCAAGUCGAGGGGCAGCACGGUGUAGCAAUACAUGGGUGGCGACCGGCGCACGGGUGCGUAACGCGUAUCCAACCUUCCCGAUACUCAGGGAUAGCCUUCCGAAAGGGAGAUUAAUACCUGAUGGUGUUUUAAUUCCGCAUGUUAAUGAAACUAAAGAUUUAUCGGUAUCGGAUGGGGAUGCGUGACAUUAGAUAGUAGGCGGGGUAACGGCCCACCUAGUCUACGAUGUCUAGGGGUUCUGAGAGGAAGGUCCCCCACACUGGAACUGAGACACGGUCCAGACUCCUACGGGAGGCAGCAGUGAGGAAUAUUGGUCAAUGGUCGGAAGACUGAACCAGCCAAGUAGCGUGAAGGAUGAAGGUUCUAUGGAUUGUAAACUUCUUUUAUACGGGAAUAAAACCACCUACGUGUAGGUGCUUGUAUGUACCGUAUGAAUAAGCAUCGGCUAACUCCGUGCCAGCAGCCGCGGUAAUACGGAGGAUGCGAGCGUUAUCCGGAUUUAUUGGGUUUAAAGGGAGCGUAGACGGGAGAUUAAGUCAGUUGUGAAAGGCUGCGGCUCAACCGCAGCACUGCAGUUGAUACUGGUUUCCUUGAGUUCGGUUGAGGUAUGUGGAAUUCGUGGUGUAGCGGUGAAAUGCUUAGAUAUCACGAAGAACGCCGAUUG